AACGAACGCUGGCGGCAGGCCUAACACAUGCAAGUCGAACGCCGUAGCAAUACGGAGUGGCAGACGGGUGAGUAACGCGUGGGAACCUUCCCUAUGGUUCGGAAUAGCUCAGGGAAACCUGGGGUAAUACCGGAUAAGCCCUUCGGGGGAAAGAUUUAUCGCCAUUGGAUGGGCCCGCGUAGGAUUAGCGAGUUGGUGAGGUAACGGCUCACCAAGGCGACGAUCCUUAGCUGGUCUGAGAGGAUGAUCAGCCACACUGGGACUGAGACACGGCCCAGACUCCUACGGGAGGCAGCAGUGGGGAAUAUUGGACAAUGGGCGAAAGCCUGAUCCAGCCAUGCCGCGUGAGUGACGAAGGCCUUAGGGUUGUAAAGCUCUUUUGGUGGGGAAGAUAAUGACGGUACCCGCAGAAUAAGCUCCGGCUAACUUCGUGCCAGCCGCCGCCGUAACAC
rnacentral:rRNA from 1 species